GGGAUUAGAAACCCCGGUAGUCCUAUCUGUAAACGAUGGAUGCUAGAUGUAGGCGGUGUAGAUUCCCUCUGUGUCGUAGCUAACGCGUUAAGCAUCCCGCCUGGGGACUACGCCCGCAAGGCUAAGACUCAAACGAAUUGACGGGGGCCCGCACAAGCAGCGGAGCGUGUGGUUUAAUUCGAUGCUACACGAAGAACCUUACCUGGGCUUGACAUGUAGGUGGUAGCGAAGCGAAAGCGGAGCGACCAUUCGGGGAGCUUACACAGGUGCUGCAUGGCUGUCGUCAGCUCGUGCCGUGAGGUGUCGGGUUAAGUCCCGUAACGAGCGCAACCCCUGCUCUUAGUUAUACGUCUCUAAGGGCACUGCCGGCGGCAAGCCGGAGGACGCUCGGGACGACGUCAAGUCAGCAUGGCCUUUAUGUCCAGGGCUACACACACGCUACAAUGGCCGAUACAAUGGGUUGCGAAACCGCGAGGUGAAGCCAAUCCUCCAAAGUCGGUCUCAGUUCGAAUUGCAGGCUGCAACUCGCAUGCAUGAAGUUGGAGUUGCUAGUAAUCGCAGGUCAGCAAUCCUCCCCUGNAUAUGUUCCCGGGCCUUGACACACCGCCCGUCACGUCAUGGAAGCUG
rnacentral:rRNA from 1 species